UACGGAGGGUGCAAGCGUUGUCCGGAUUUAUUGGGUUUAAAGGGUGCGUAGGCGGCUUUUUAAGUCAGUGGUGAAAGCCUCCAGCUUAACUGGAGAACAGCCAUUGAUACUGAAGAGCUUGAGUACAGACGAGGUAGGCGGAAUUUAUGGUGUAGCGGUGAAAUGCAUAGAUACCAUAAAGAACUCCUAUUGCGAAGGCAGCUUACUAGGCUGUAACUGACGCUGAGGCACGAAAGCGUGGGGAUCAAACGGG
rnacentral:rRNA from 1 species